GAGAGAGAGAGAGAGAGAGAGAGAGAGAGAGAGAGUCUAAAAUUGAUUUUCAUUUCUUUUUCUGCUAAAUAUAAUUUCUUAAGGAAUAUGUCCCAUAUCAUAAAGAAAGUGAGUAAAUUGCCAUUUUUUUUAUCCCUAAUUUGAAUUAUUUUUUUAGCUCUAUCAUGUGGAUGCUCACAAAACCAUAAAAUGGAUCUAACAAAUUGAUGGAGUUGAGGGAGGUGACAUGUGACGGAAGUCAAGAAAAGAGUACAUUCGAGGUACAAUUAAGCGAGCAAUAUAGUGUUGCCACAUAGGCAAAGACAGGACCUCCCCUUCCCAUAAAAAAAAAAGACAAGAAGAAAAAAAAGCCGUGGUGGUCACCCGAGAGAAAAACCUGCCAGCAUUAAAUCAUGCACACUUUUGAUGCCAUAUAUAAUACUCACAAGAGAUAGGGUUUUUCACAUCUUUUUUGCCUUCAUGUUUGCUUCAACAUAUAUGCAGCUAAUUUUUUUUGAAAAUGGCAGAAUGAUGCUCAAGUAAAUGCCUCCCUGCAAUGUUUUGAACCGACUGCUCUUCUCCUUCAUAGCCCCCCUUGAUUCUCUCCCAUUGCCAGGCCCAUCUCACUGCUUGGGACCUUAUCCUCCUAUUCUCUCCUCUUGCCAAUUAAGCUGCUGCUCUUGCCACAUGGUUGUGGUCUGGUGCCUUAACCUCUUCUUCAACCUCCCUGUCUUCACCAACCCUUCUCUCUAUCCUUCAUGUUGCUAGUUUCAUCUUGCUGUCAGCGAUUGCCCCUCUAGUCCUUCUUUUUCUUGCUUGCACCUGGUGGUGACUGCUUCGGCAAUCGCCACCCCUUCUUCCUUGAUUGGUGUAAGAUAUGGUCCAAAAAAGGUGUCACCCCUCCUUUGUUGCUAGGCUGCUUCCUUCUACUGCUUCUGUAGUCACCAAUCAUGCCUCUUUGCGAAUUCCAUUAAAUGCCAUGUCAGAAAUAUUUCCCUCAUCUGCCUCCUCUGGUGCUGCACCAUCUGCUUUAACUCAAAUAGUCACUUGUAGAGCGUGGAUUUUUAUUUAUUCCAGAAGACUCCUCUGUCCAUUUAUCAGACCUCCACUUUUCUCUAGGAGUGUUGCAUGCUCGUAUUUCGGCUGCUGGCUAUAGGGUUGUCCUUAGACAAGAUCAAAGGGGAAGGGUUGCAGCAAGUUCCUCCACUCAUGCUUGUCGGAUUAUCUCAAGAUGCAAGCAAGGUGACUACAGUGAGGGGCAGGGACUAUAGGGUUGAUGGGUGGUAUGAUAGGGCAGGGACUAUUGGGUUUUUGGGUGGUAUGAUAGGAAAGGGACUAUUGGGUUGUUGGGUGAGUUGAUUUUGGAGGAAGAACGAGAAGAUGAGGGGGCGAUUUGAAGGAGAGAAGAAAGGAGUUGUAGAGUUACAUGGUGGGAAAUAGAAAGGUUUUCUUUCACAUUGAACAUGCAAUCCUUUCCAUCUAGAUUUGAAUCUAAUGGAAGAAGAACUGAUAAAUGUUUGGUCAUGCCCUCUGAAGCAGCCAAGCUUAACUCUGUAUGUAUUCAUGUAUGUAUGUAUCAUAUAAAUGCUCUUUUCACCAUAUCUACUGUAAUUUUACCUAUUUUUUGCAUCCAAAAGUGAACAUAGUAUUAAAAGCUAGAAGAUCAAGCAAUUUUGAAAGACAUUACUAAUGUCAGAAUAUGACAGGCAUGCAAAGUCAUGACAACUGAAUACCAACCAAAUAACUUGCACAAAAUGAAAACAAGGACCAACACUAGAUGAGCAUAGGUUCAUAGUCGUAAUAUCAAAAUAUUAUAGUCAUGAUCAUAGAUUCAUAGGCUGUGACACAUGAUGCAAUAAAUAAUAUUUCAUUGACCGGCCCAAAAUAGGACCAAAACAUAAAUCCAUAGAAAAUUAGAAUCUCCAUCAAUACUUCAAACACAUUUCCAUGGCACCUUCCAUCCUAUUUUUGG
rnacentral:lncRNA from 1 species